UUAGUUGGGGGAUUAAGUAUUUUUGCGUUUAGAAAAGAGGAAUAGAAGUCCGAUAUAUUAGGAACACGUCAACACAUUCCUAAGUGUUUUUUUUAGAUAAUGCUACAAUUUUAUGGACGUCAACACAUUUCGUUGAAUUUGGACAAACCAAAAAUUAGGAUAGCAAGUGACACCAAAGAGAGAAAGCCAGGAGAACUGUCGAUGCGUAAACAGCCUCAGGGAAAGCGCGAAGGGAGCCACUGGAAGCAAGGGUACAAAUAAGGCUGUACUCAGUGAAUGCGUCGAAACCUGACCUGCAUUGUUUCGGUCACAACCAUUGAACAGGGACGAAAUAUGACCAAUUUCUCGUCCAUGUGCCGGCUUGGAGGGGUGAGUCGAGGAACCAUUGCACUGGAGAAAAUACUUUACAGCAUUAAGGGGUAGGGUGGGUGAGUGGGGGUACUCUUUCAGUUACAGAAUACGUUGGCGUAUGGCUUCUAUGACAAAUAUUUUCUCUUUAGUCUCAAACCUAAUACGUAGGAGCUAACAGCGUAUAGUUUUACUUACUCGGUUCGGGUAGAAUCUUUAGUAACCGUACUUUGCGUCUGUUUGAUUCGCAAUUCGAGUUUCCUAGGGCUUGUGUUAUGGAUGGUAUUAUUGUGCUUUUUCACUCACAUCUGCGUUUUCCUUCAUUGGGCAAGUAGCGACAAGCCCAGCAGCACGUCUAUCCUAUACAUCCUCUUGUUUUCAAUUUUCUUCAGACAACCGCUGCGCAAAUCUCGAGGCACCGCAGGAAGGCACCAGGCAUUUCAAAGAAAACUUGCGCAACUUAAGAUGCUCGUUUAGCAUUUCACAGAAAACUUGGCAUUUCACUGAUAAAUUCACCGCACAUAAGCUUUUGCGAACAGGUUUUUUUUUUUGCUUGUGCGUGCGCAGUAGGGACAUCAGUGAAUUGUGGACGCAAAUGCAAAUUAUUCCAAUGGUUUUUUAACGGUCCUCCUGUGUCUCCAUGGUAUCAACGCAACGGAUGAUGAAAACUUAAUUACUGUAUAAGUUUGGAUAGCAGUAUGAUAAAUAUUAAUAUACUGGAGGAUUUGGAUUAUGUUUUAAGAAUAUUGUUAAAAAUAUCAUGUUCUCAAAAAAUAUGUUUAAAUAAGUCAAUAUCAAUAAAUGUUGCGAGUCUUCUUUAAA